rnacentral:tRNA from 1 species
GGAGUGGUGCUCGAGUGGUUGAAGAGGCACGCCUGGAAAGCGUGUAUACGCCAAAAGCGUAUCGCGGGUUCGAAUCCCGCCCACUCCG